rnacentral:rRNA from 1 species
GAUGAACGCUGGCGGCGUGCCUAAUACAUGCAAGUCGAGCGGCGCGGGGACGGGUGAGUAACACGUGGAUAACCUCCUAUAAGGCUGGGAUAACUUAGGGGAACCGGAGCUAAACCCGACACUUAUACAUGAUUGUGUGAUGUAUUAGCUAGGUGGUAAGGUAACGGCUUACCCAGGCAACGAUGCAUAGCCGACCUGAGAGGGUGAUCAGCCACACUGGAACUGAGACACGGUCCAGACUCCUACGGGAGGCAGCAGUAGGGAAUAUUCCGCAAUGGGCGAAAGCCUGACUGAGCAACGCCGCGUGAGUGAAGAAGGUCUUCGGAUCGUAAAGCUCUGUUAGUAGGGAAGCGGUACCUACUCAGAAAGCCCCGGCUAACUACGUGCCAGCAGCCGCGGUAAUAC